rnacentral:rRNA from 1 species
UUCCUUGUCGGGUAAGUUCCGACGCGCAUGAAUGGCGUAACCACUGGAGCACUGUCUCAACAACCGACUCGGUGAAAUAGAAGACGCGGUGAAGAUACCGCGUACCCGCAGCAAGACGGAAAGACCCCGUGGACCUUUACUGUAGACUGGUAUUGGCCACGUUACUAUCAUGCGUAGGAUAGGUGGGAGGCUUUGAAACUUUGGUUCAGGCCAGAGUGGAGCCAUCCUUGAAAUACCACCCUUGAUAUUAAUGUGACCUAACUUGGACCCAUGAAUCUGGGCCAAGGACCAUGCUAGUUGGGCAGUUUGACUGGGGCGGUCUCCUCCUAAAAGGUAACGGAGGAGUGCAAAGGUCAGUUCAACAUGGUUGGAAACCAUGUGUCGAGUGUAAACGCACAAACUGGCUUUACUGCGAGACAUACUCGUCGAGCAGUUAGGAAACUAGGCGUUAGUGAUCCGGCGAUCCCGUGUGGAAGGGUCGUCGCUCAACGGAUAAAAGGUACCCCGGGGAUAACAGGCUGAUCGCCUCCGAGCGUCCAUAGCGGCGAGGCGGUUUGGCACCUCGAUGUCGGCUCAUCACAUCCUGGGGCUGAAGGCGGUCCCAAGGGUUAGGCUGUUCGCCUAUUAAAGUGGUACGCGAGCUGGGUUCAGACCGGCGUGAGCCAGGUCGGUCCCUAUCUGCUGUGGGCGUAGCAAAUUUGAAAGGAUUCUUCUUUAGUACGAGAGGAUUAGGAAGGACAUGCCUCUGGUGCGCCAGUUGGACCGCUAGGUCCACCGCUGGGUAGCUAAGCAUGGCAGGGAUAACCGCUGAAAGCAUCUAAGCGGGAAGCCCCCCUUGAGAUAAGAUUUGCACGCACUUUUGUGUGAGAGACCCCUUGUAGACGACAAGGUUGAUAGGCAGGAGCUGUAAGGGCUGAGAAGUCUUAAGGUGACCUGUACUAACGGUCGAUUGCUUGAUCGUUCC